CUUGGGACAAGGCCUCGCACCUGUGACCUUGGUGUUGGGCUCCACACGGCCCAGACUCUCCAGCACCGUGGACUGAAACGUCUGUUCCUAUAACUGGAUCUGGGCACCACUCCUCUGAGACAUGCGCACCGAGUCGUGGAGCAAAGAGGAAGCUGAGGAGACGUCCAUGCGUGUGGACGUCUCACACAGCCACCUUCUGAAAAAGUUCUGCCACCUUACUGCUGCGGUUCAGGACCAGGCCUUACUCGGGUAACGAAACCAACCGUGCUACUCGAACCCCACCCGACUGAAUGGACUGCAGGUUAUCUGUAUGUGUGAGCCUUCCUUGCAGCCAUGGAGGAGACCAUAAAUAAAGAUGCACAUGUUUCCA